rnacentral:misc_RNA from 1 species
GUUUCAGAUAAGAGAUUGUUAAGAUGUCAUGAUCACUCUAGCCACUGGACAAGGAUACUGAAAAUGAUUUAUUUAGAUCAAAACCUCCUGGCAUCUUCUCGUCGCAGUAGUGUAACUGGGCCCGAUCCAUUAUGUCUUAAAGCCGGUGAGAUUAUUAUGGAUCAGACUGGAAAUACUGGAGCUUCUGGGGCUUUCUCUUUGGAGGACCCUGCCAGUGCCAGAUACCAACCAAAGAGAAAGCC